CCUACGGGAGGCAGCAGUGGGGAAUUUUGCGCAAUGGGGGCAACCCUGACGCAGCAACGCCGCGUGAGUGAUGAAGGCCUUCGGGUCGUAAAGCUCUGUCAGAGGGGAAGAACUGCAGGUGGUGAACAACCAUUCUGUUUGACGGUACCCUCAAAGGAAGCACCGGCUAACUCCGUGCCAGCAGCCGCGGUAAUACGGAGGGUGCGAGCGUUGUUCGGAAUUAUUGGGCGUAAAGCGCGUGUAGGCGGUUUUUUAAGUCUGAGGUAAAAGCCCCGGGCUCAACCGGGAAAGUGCAUUGGAUACUGGCAGACUGGAGUCCGGGAGAGGGGAGUGAAAUUCCCGGUGUAGGGGUGAAAUCCGUAGAUAUGGGGAGGAACACCGGUGGCGAAGGCGGCUCUCGGGACCGAUACUGACGCUGAGGCGCGAAAGCGGGGGGAGCAAACAGGAUUAGAUACCCGGGUAGU
rnacentral:rRNA from 1 species